rnacentral:rRNA from 1 species
AGCGAACGCUGGCGGCAGGCCUAACACAUGCAAGUCGAACGAACCUUUCGGGGUUAGUGGCGGACGGGUGAGUAACACGUGGGAACGUGCCUUUAGGUUCGGAAUAACUCAGGGAAACUUGUGCUAAUACCGAAUGUGCCCUUCGGGGGAAAGAUUUAUCGCCUUUAGAGCGGCCCGCGUCUGAUUAGCUAGUUGGUUGAGGUAAUGGCUCACCAAGGCGACGAUCAGUAGCUGGUCUGAGAGGAUGAUCAGCCACAUUGGGACUGAGACACGGCCCAAACUCCUACGGGAGGCAGCAGUGGGUAAUCUUGCGCAAUGGGCGAAAGCCUGACGCAGCCAUGCCGCGUGAAUGAUGAAGGUCUUAGGAUUGUAAAAUUCUUUCACCGGAGACGAUAAUGACGGUACCCGGAGAAGAAGCCCCGGCUAACUUCGUG